rnacentral:rRNA from 1 species
UACGGGGGGGGGCAAGCGUUGUUCGGAAUUACUGGGCGUAAAGGGCUCGUAGGCGGCCAACUAAGUCCGACGUGAAAUCCCCAGGCUUAACCUGGGAACUGCGUCGGAUACUGGAUGGCUUGAAUCCGGGAGAGGGAUGCGGAAUUCCAGGUGUAGCGGUGAAAUGCGUAGAUAUCUGGAGGAACACCGGUGGCGAAGGCGGCAUCCUGGACCAACACUGACACUGAGGAGCGAAAGCCAGGGGAGCAAACGGG